GACGAACGCUGGCGGCGUGCCUAAUACAUGCAAGUAGGACGCAGUUGCGAACGGGUGAGUAACGCGUAGGUAACUACCUAUUAGAGGGGGAUAACUAUUGGAAACGAUAGCUAAUACCGCAUACUAGUAGAUGGACCUGCGUUGUAUUUGCUAGUAGGUGGGGUAAUGGCCGACCUAGGCAACGAUACAGAGCCGUCGUGAUAGUGUGAGUGUCCACUCUGGGGCUGAGACACGCCCCAGACUCCUACGGGUGGCAGCAGUAGGGAUUCUUCGGCAAUGGGGGGAACCCUGACCGAGCAACGCCGCGUGAGUGAAGAAGGUUUUCGGAUCGUAAAGCUCUGUUGUUAAGGAAGCGGUACUUAACCAGAAAGGGACGGCUAACUACGUGCCAGCAGCCGCGGUAAUUC
rnacentral:rRNA from 1 species